rnacentral:sRNA from 1 species
AGUCUCAAUGGACAGGCAGACUGCGUGCUGGCACGCAAGGCUGUAUGAACAUUUGAGACGCUAACCCGUAUGAGCAAGAAGCACGGUAGUGCGGAUUGCGAAUACGGGUAGGAUUGCAGGAGCACGCAGUGCGGAGCAAUCCGUGGC